rnacentral:tRNA from 1 species
GGAUUUGUAGCUUAGUUGGUAGAGCAGGUCCCUCUUAAGGACAAGGUCGCGGGUUCGACUCCCGCCAAAUCCACCA